CCAGCAGCUGCGGUAAUUCCAGCUCCAAUAGCGUAUACUAAAGUUGUUGCAGUUAAAAAGCUCGUAGUUGAAUUUCUGGUCUUGGGCGGCGGUCUACCACAAGAGUGGUACGUGCCAACUGCCUGAGUCCAUCCUUAGGGAAAACAUGCCUGUGAUUGAGUUCAUGGGUAUGGGAUCCUCGUCAUUUACUGUGAGCAAAAUAGAGUGUUCAGAGCAGGCUUAUGCCGUUGAAUAUAUUAGCAUGGAAUAAUAAGAUAAGACCUUGGUCGAUUUUGUUGGUUUGUACUCCAGGGUAAUGAUUAAUAGGGAUAGUUGGGGGUAUUCGUAUUCAAUUGUCAGAGGUGAAAUUCUUGGAUUUAUGGAAGACGAACUACUGCGAAAGCAUUUACCAAGGAUGUUUUCAUUAAUCAAGAACGAAAGU
rnacentral:rRNA from 1 species